rnacentral:rRNA from 1 species
CCUACGGGUGGCAGCAGUGAGGAAUAUUGGUCAAUGGACGAGAGUCUGAACCAGCCAAGUCGCGUGAGGGAUGACGGUCCUAUGGAUUGUAAACCUCUUUUGUCGGGGAACAAAGUCGUCCACGUGUGGACUGCUGAGUGUACCCGAAGAAAAAGCAUCGGCUAACUCCGUGCCAGCAGCCGCGGUAAUACGGAGGAUGCGAGCGUUAUCCGGAUUUAUUGGGUUUAAAGGGUGCGUAGGCGGACAGUCAAGUCAGCGGUAAAAAUGCGGUGCUCAACGCCGUACAGCCGUUGAAACUGGCAGUCUGGAGUGGGCGAGAAGUAGGCGGAAUGCGUGGUGUAGCGGUGAAAUGCAUAGAUAUCACGCAGAACUCCGAUUGCGAAGGCAGCAUACCGGCGCCCGACUGACGCUGAGGCACGAAAGCGUGGGUAUCGAACAGGAUUAGAUACCCCUGUAGUC